GACGAACGCUGGCGGCGUGCUCAACACAUGCAAGUCGAGCGGUAAGGCCCUUUCGGGGUACGACGAGCGGCGAACGGGUGAGUAACACGUGGGUGACCUCGCCCUCCAGCUCUGGGAGUAAGCCUGGGAAACCGGGUACUAAUACUGGAUAUGACUCCAUGACGCAUGUUGUGGGGUGGAAAGCCUUGUGCGGCUGAGGAUGGGCCCGCGGCCUAUCAGC
rnacentral:rRNA from 1 species